rnacentral:rRNA from 1 species
GAUGAACGCUGGCGGCGUGCCUAAUACAUGCAAGUCGAGCGAACGGACGAGAAGCUUGCUUCUCUGAUGUUAGCGGCGGACGGGUGAGUAACACGUGGAUAACCUACCUAUAAGACUGGGAUAACUUCGGGAAACCGGAGCUAAUACCGGAUGAUAUUUUGAACCGCAUGGUUCAAAAGUGAAAGACGGUCUUGCUGUCACUUAUAGAUGGAUCCGCGCUGCAUUAGCUAGUUGGUAAGGUAACGGCUUACCAAGGCAACGAUGCAUAGCCGACCUGAGAGGGUGAUCGGCCACACUGGAACUGAGACACGGUCCAGACUCCUACGGGAGGCAGCAGUAGGGAAUCUUCCGCAAAGGGCGAAAGCCUGACGGAGCCACGCCGCGUGAGUGAUGAAGGUCUUCGGAUCGUAAAACUCUGUUAUUAGGGAAGAACAUAUGUGUAAGUAACUGUGCACAUCUUGACGGUACCUAAUCAGAAAGCCCCGGCUAACUACGUG